GAGCAGUUCAGCCCCAGAGCAGCAGUACUGGGCCUGUUUGGAGAGCUAUCUUCCUAGUCCAUCAGUAACGACUUUGAUAACUGUUGGUUUUGAUUAGCAAGAUAGUUCUUUUGAAACUGUCCAGGCUUGAACACGUUAGCUUAUUUUAUGACUUUUGAUAACAGUAAGCUAUUAAAUGUUGUAAAUACAUGCUUUAGUUUUGAUACUGUGAUGUUUUUUCAAAUGAGUAAACUCACAUCAGGAAGAGAACCCUUUGCUGCAGCUUGGCAUAUUGGCUGUAUGAGGGUAGUGUGAGCUGCAAUAACAAAAGGGCCCUGCAGAUAUUCGUGGCUCAACUCUUAAAGUAAGACAGAGAAAUUUAGUAGUUUGUCGGCUAGGAAAUUAAAGGGUCAGUCUUCCUGUUCAGGCAGUUGGGCUCCAGAACACCUGUUCUUCACCUCUCUGCUCUAUUUCCAUCCAACAUGCCAAGACAACUCUGAAAUAUUAUUUCUUUCCCCCACUUUCUCAUACAUGGGAGGGUCAUCUCCCAUGUUGCUGUGCAUGCUGCAGUGUGCAUCUAACUGGAGACACGGAAGUAGUGGAUACAUCAGACCAGAUAACACAUUAUAAGUUGCUGUAAAACUAGCUUGCCUGGGAGUUCCUGUUGUGACUCAGAGCUGAGCUGCCUCAGGAGGCAGUGGAAGUGUUGAGAGACAGGGAUGGAGGCCACUUGACAGUAACAUCCAAAGAAAAUUCAAGAGCCGAGUCAGAGAAUGGACUAGUGUUCCUGAAAGUCGAAUCACGACCUGGGGAGAUAAAUGCCUGCUGUCUGUCACUCCAGAAAGAUUGAUGGCAUCUGAUCCCCUCCCUGCCCAACGCCUCUUGCCUCACUAGUGACUGACAUCUUCAGCAAAUCACGGGAAGUUCCUUUCUUACAGGAUCAUGGGGGCUAAGACACCUUUUGACAAAAUAAACCAAAUUGUUGCCAUGAAAUCAACAAACCAUUUUCCAAGCUUUGGACAACAUCCUAACUUAGGCAAAGGAACUCUGGAGAUGUUGACGAACCUGGGAAAACAGAUGUCUCCAGCCGACUGGUCAUCAAUGGGAGUCAAGCGGAAGCUUGGGAAAUUCAGAUGUCUUUCUUCUAUCUUUCCACCUAGUUGGGCACAUCCCCUGUGUGCUGGUUGA
rnacentral:lncRNA from 1 species